CUACGUGCCAGCAGCCGCGGUAAUACGGAAGGUCCGGGCGUUAUCCGGAUUUAUUGGGUUUAAAGGGAGCGUAGGCUGGAGAUUAAGUGUGUUGUGAAAUGUAGACGCUCAACGUCUGACUUGCAGCGCAUACUGGUUUCCUUGAGUACGCACAACGUUGGCGGAAUUCGUCGUGUAGCGGUGAAAUGCUUAGAUAUGACGAAGAACUCCGAUUGCGAAGGCAGCUGACGGGAGCGCAACUGACGCUGAAGCUCGAAGGUGCGGGUAUCGAACAGGAUUAGAUACCCUGGUAGUCCGCACAGUAAACGAUGGAUGCCCGCUGUUGGUACGUGGUAUCAGCGGCUAAGCGAAAGCAUUAAGCAUCCCACCUGGGGAGUACGCCGGCAACGGUGAAACUCAAAGGAAUUGACGGGGGCCCGCACAAGCGGUGGAGCAUGUGGUUUAAUUCGAUGCAACGCGAAGAACCUUACCUACUCUUGACAUCCAUGGAAUCCUGUAGAGAUACGGGAGUGCUUCGGGA
rnacentral:rRNA from 1 species